CACCAGGUUGAUUCUGCCUGACGUAUGCGCUUGUCUUGAAGAUUUAGCCAUGCAAGCCGGCGAAGCUCUAUGUGAAGCGGCAGACAGCUCAGUAAUACAGUUAUAAUUUACUCGUAGUGUGUAUACGGAUAACCUUGGUAACCUAAGGCUAAUACGUGGACAGGUUAUUGAAUUGGUGAAACAAUAAUAACUGAAAGGAAUUUCUACUGCGAUUAAGUUUCUGGCCUAUUAGCUAGUUGGUAGGGUAAUGGCCUACCAAGGCGAUGAUGGGUAACGGGGAAUCAGUGUUCGAUUCCGGAGAGGGAGCCUGAGAAAUAGCUCCCACGUCCAAGGAUGGCAGCAGGCGCGAAAAUUACCCAAUUCCUUAACGGGAGAGGUGGUGAAGAGACAUGAAGUUCUACUUAGAGACUGCACAGUAAAAAAGUGUGGGAUCGACUGGAGGGCAAGUCUGGUGCCAGCAGCCGCGGUAAUUCCAGCUCCAGUAGCGCAUAUAAUAGUUGCUGCAGUUAAAACGUCCGUAGUUGAUCACAAAGCAUAUUUUAGCAGUAUUGUUGAAUAAGCUUCGGUACUGUGAGAAAAAUAUGGUUCUCAAAGCAGGUUACGUGAGUAAUUUAGCAUGGGACACAGUGAAUAUAGGAACAGAUGAUGGCAAUAGUAUUCAACAGUAAGAGGUGAAAAUCGUUGACCUGUUGAGGACUGUCGGAAGCGAAGGCGAUUGUCAAGUAUGUCUCCGUUAAUAAAGGACUUAAGCUAGAUUAUCGAAGAUGAUUAGAUACCGUCGUAGUUCUAGCUGUAAACGAUGCCGACUAGGUGAGGCCGAGAGGCUGCGCCUUAGGAGAAAUCAAAGUCUACGGGCUCUGGGGAUAGUAUUGCCGCAAGGUUGAAACUUAAAGAAAUUGACGGAAGGACACCACAAGGAGUGGAUUGUGCGGCUUAAUUUGACUCAACGCGGGACAACUUACCAGGACCGAACUUGUUUGAGAUUGGCGGUCUGAGAGGACCCCCGAGAUUACAAGGAAGGUAGUGCAUGGCCGUUUUCAACACGUGGGGUGACUUGUCUGGUUAAUUCCGACAACGCGUGAGGCCCCGUGAACAACUCGUUGUUCGACGGACAGCGGCAAGCUGUAGGAAGUGGGGCGAUAACAGGUCAGUGAUGCUCCUAGAUGCUCUGGGCUGCACGCGCAAUACAAUGGUAUGGCGAGACUAUGCACUGAAAAGUGUUGUUUAAACCAUACCGAAGCUAGGAUAAGCUCUUGUAAAUGAGCUUUGAACGAGGAAUUCCUAGUAAUCGCAAGUCAUUAUGUUGCGAUGAAUGCGUCCCUGUUCUUUGCACACACCGCCCGUCGCUAUCUAAGAUGGAUGUAUUGGUGAAAUGGCUGGACGUUAAGAAAGGCAGUUGAACCUGUGCAACUAAAUAAGAUAUAAGUCGUAACAAGGUAACC
rnacentral:rRNA from 1 species